rnacentral:misc_RNA from 1 species
UAGGAAAAACUUAGAAUAGAAGAUCCAAACUAAACCCAAGCUAGUAGGCCAUCCCACUACACUCAAUUUAAGAUAAAAAAAAAUGCUAAGUAAAAAAACCCAGAAAACAUCAGAUACAAGAACAGAAACUAAAGAGCUCAAAGACUCCUCCCAGACCUUAGGACUAGCAUAAAAUAAAGCCACCCCAGCAAGAGAAUGAGCAACCCUAUUAACUUGUCCUUGAACCCAUCUAAGAGACAGAUUCUGAAUUUGUCUCAAAAGAAAUUGACAUUCCUCAAUAACUUGACCAAACUCUGUGAGAUUAGACCCAUUACAAUUUAAAUCAUGAAAAACUUCCUUAGCAACAAUCUCUAAAUCAACAUCAUGACAACAUCUUGAUAUCAACCAAAAAAUGACUCCACACUGCCCGAUUGCUUCCCUCCCUAGACCGACAACAACCCAAGAAAAAAAAUAUGAGUAACUUACUUAUAACUUUUUUACUUAUAAGUUUGACCAACUUACAAGUAAACCAACACACUCUUUUAGCCAAUCAUGAACCCAAGAUAUAAAUAUGCACUUAAUUUAUAGGUCCUACCAUGUCUAUUAUAAGUUCAUAUAAUAGAACAAAUUUAGGCAAAAAUUUUCAAAAAAUUUAUUCUCCACCACGCACCCACCCUUCUUCCGUGUCAACCUCCUCCUCCUUUGUAUGUUGGUAGACUUGACCCUGUUCCUACAUGACCUGAUCAAUUCGAUUAGGUACUCGCCAUCAAUUUUUAUUGUUCAACUCUUUGACAAUAUGAAAAAACCAAAAGCUCUACCCUCCCACUCUAUCGAACCAAGGGAUGGAAGGGCAAAGACCUUUGGUGUCCCCUCCAAUCAAGAAUUGGGGCCUCACAAUCACUAGCCAAUAUGCUUUUCUCUCAUGCCUUUUUUUGUUCAUGGUUCGAUGUUCUGGCUCAUUUUUUGUCUCUACUUUUGUGAAAUUGACCCAUCCAUUAACAGGAACAUCCUCAACCAUAGAAACUAGGGGUGUGCAAUUGGUUGAUUCGAUUCCAAACCGAAUCGAAUCACAAAAACUGAAAAACCAAAGAUCAGUUUUUUUUUUUUUUUUUUUU